AACACAUUUCCAAAUACAUUUUAAAAUCUAGCAAAUAUAUUGAUACAUACAUGUAAAAAUAUACUCAAAUACAUUCUUUAAUUGUGGUGACAGAGGCUGUCAGCAUCCCGGAGUCGCCUCUUUACUGUUGACGUUGAGACCUAUGUUUUGCGAGUACUAUUUAGUGAAGCUGCCAGUUAAGGAUGUGAGCCAUCUGUUUCUCAAACUAGACACUGUGUACUUGUCCUCUUGCUCAGUUGUGCACCGGGGCCUCCCACUCCUCUUUCUAUUCUGGUUAGAGCUAGUUUGCGCUGUUUUGUGAAGGGAGUAGUACACAGCGUUGUAUGAGAUCUUCAGUUUCUUAUGCAAUUUCUCACAUGGAAGAGCCUUCAUUUCUCAGAACAAGAAUAGACUGAUGAGUUUAGAAGAAAGGUCUUUGUUUCUGGCCAUUUUGAGCCUGUAAUCGAACCCACAAAUGCUGAUGCUCCAGAUACUCAACUAGUCUAAAGGCCAGUUUUAUUGCUUCUUUAAUCAGAACAACAGUUUUCAGCUGUGCUAACAUAAUUGCAAAAGGGUUUUCUAAUGAUCAAUUAGCCUUUUAAAAUUAUAAACUUGGAUUAGCUAACACAACGUGCCAUUGGAACACAGGAGUGAUGGUUGCUGAUAAUGGGCCUCUGUACGCCUAUGUAGAUAUUCCAUUAUAAAUCAGCUGUUUCCAGUUACAAUAGUCAUUUACAACAUUACCAAUGUGUACACUGUAUUUCUGAUCAAUUUUAUGUUCUUUUAAUGGACAAAAAAUGUGCUUUUCUUUCAAAAACAUGGACAUUUUUAAGUGAACCCAAACUGUUGAAGGGUAAUGUAUAUAUAUUUAAAAAAAAAAAAAUUCCCAUAUGGACUCAUUAUCAUGCUCUCUGUAGAUCCAGGGUGGCGUCCAUCAGCACUCUGUGAAAGUCCAUUACUUUGACCGCCUUCUCAUGAGGAAUGUGUCUGGCACGGCAACUUGUCAGACUCCCAUCUCCACCUCCCCUACCUCUGUUCCACCAACAUUGUGGCUGCCCCAAGUCACCUGUGGGAAAACAGACAUGACUGUUAAACUACCUGCUGGAAUGCUGAUAGAUGUGAAGGUGCUUGGUCCAGAGGCGUUGUUGCACGUUCAUGAUGGAUACAGUGUAACUCAGUGGAAAAGUCUCAAUGCCUUGUUUGUCAAAUUUUCCCAAUCAAAUGUGGAGUAUGGCAGUCUCUCGCUUCAACUGGUUUAUCAGAACUCUGCUGGAGAGUUGUCCACCACAUUGGUAUCGUGUUUCCCUCAGCCUUUCAAGUCAAGAAAUGUAGAAGAACCUUUUGGGGAUUUAUGGGGAUUCCCAAAUAUUCCCACUGCACCCUAUAUGAUAGAUCAGACCCCAGUCAUCACCAAUGUUCCUUCAACAUCUGUAGCAUCCACCCCACUAGGAGCUUUUUGCUUGUGGGGCUUCCCAUUCAUUCCUACUGGAGCUUUUAUUCCUUGUAAAGAAUCAACAACUCCAGCCACUACAACAACAACAACUCCAGCCACUACGGCAGCCGCAACUGCAGCUGCCACUACGACAACAGCCACUGCCACUACAACUGCAGACACCACAGAGACAACACCUGCCACCACAACAGCCGCUGCCACCACUACCGCAGCCCCUGCCACCAUAACUGUAGACGCCACUACGACUGCAGCUGAAAUUACAACAGACCCUGCCACCACAACUGCAGACACCAAUACGACUACUACCACAACUUUAGCUUCCACUACGACAGUCUCUGCCACCACAGCAACAGCAGCCGCCAGCGCAACUGUAGCCGCCACUACGACUACAGCAGCCACCACAACAGCAGCCGCUGCCACCACAACAGCAGCCGCUGCCACCACAACUUAUGCUGGUACCACAAGAGCAGCAUCUGCAACAACAACAGCAGCUGCCACUACGACUGCUAACACAACAGCAGCUGCCACUACGACGACAGCCCCUGCCACCACAACUGUAGACACCACUACAACUACUACCACAACUGCAGCUUCCACUACAAUAGCCUCUGCCACCAUAGCAACAGCAGUCGGCAGCACAACUGUAGCCGCCACUAUACCUACAGCAGCCACUACAACAGUAGCAACUGCCACCACAACUCCAGCUGGUACCACAAGAGCUGCAACCACAACUGCAGCCGCCACUACGACAGCUGCCACUUUGACAACACCCCCUGCCACCACAACUUUAGCCGCUACCACAACAGCUGCCACUGCAAAUACAAGUGCAUAUGCUACCACAGCUGCAGCUGCCCCUAUGACAACAGCUGCUACCACCACAGCUGCAGCUGCCACUAUGACGACAGCCACUACCACCACAACUGCAGCUGACACCACAACUGCAGCUGACACCACUACUGCAGCCUCUGCCAGCAUAACUAAGGACGCCACUACGACAGCCCCUGCCACCACAACUGGAGACACCACUAAGACAGCCCAUGCCACCAACUCUUUAGCCGCUACAAGAACAGCAGCCAUUGCAACCACAAGUGCAGCUGCCACUAUGACGACAGCCGCUGACACCACAACUGCAUUUGCCACCACGACAACAGCCAUUGCCACCACUACGACAGCCCCUGCCACCGUAACUGCAGCCACUAAUAGGAUAGCCCCUGCCAACACAACUGCAGACAUUACCACAACUGUAGGUUCCACUAUGACAGUCCCUGCCACCACAGCAACAGCAGCUGCCACCAUAACUGUAGCCACCACUAUGAAUACAGCAGCCACUACAACAGUAACAACUGCAACCACAACUGCAGCUGCCCCUACGACAACAGCCGCUACUACCACAGCUGCAGCUGCCACUAUGACGACAGCCACUGCCACCACAACUGUAGCUGACACCACAACUGCAGCUGACACCACAACUGCAGCCCCUGCCACCAUAACUAAGGACGCCACUACGACAGCCCCUGCCACCACAAUUGGAGACACCACUAAGACAGCCCAUGCCACCAAAACUUUAACUGCUACCAGAACAGCAGCCAUUGCAACCACAAGUGCAGCUGCCACCACAACUGCAGCUGCCACUAUGAUGACAGCCGCUGCCACCACAACUGUAGCUGACACCACAACUGCAGCUGACACCACAACUGCAGAGUCUGCCACCAUAACUAAGGACGCCACUACGACAGCCCCUGCCACCACAACUGGAGACACCACUAAGACAGCCCAUGCCACCAAAACUUUAGCCGCUGCCAGAACAGCAGCCAUUGCAACAGCAAGUGUAGCUGCUACAUCAACUGCAGCUGCCACUAUGAUAACAGUCGCUACCACCACAACUGUAGACACCACUAAGACAACCCCUGCCACCUCAACAGCAGCCACUGCUACCACUACAGCAGCCCCUGCCACCGUAACUGUAGACACCACUACGACAGGCCCUGCCACCACAACUGGAGACACCACUAAGAGAACUCAUGCCACCACAACUUUAUCCGCUACCACAACAGCAGCCACAAGUGCAGCUGCUACCACAACUGUAGCUGCCACUAUGACGACAGCCGCUGCCACCACUACUGCAGUCCCUGCCACCGUAACUGUAGACGCCACUACGACAGGCCCUGCCACCACAGCUGGAGACACCACUAAGAGAACUCAUGCCACCACAACUUUAACCGCUACCAACACAGCAGCCACUGCAACCACAACUGCAGCCACAUAUACGACAGCCCCUGCCACAACAGCAACAGCAGCAGACACCACCACGACUGUAGCCGCCACUUCAACUACAGCAGCCACUACAACAGUAGCAACUGCCACCACAACUCCAGCUGGUACCACAAGAGCAGCAGCUUCAACCACAACUGCAGCUGCCACUACGACAACAGCCGCUACCACCACAACUGCAGACACUGCUAAGACAACCCCUGCCACCACAACAGCAGCCACUGCCACCACUACUGCAGCCCCUGCCACCGUAACUGCAGACGUCCCUACGACAGCCCCUGCCACCACAACUGCAGCCAUAUAUACAACAGCCCCUGCAACCACAGCAACAGCAGCCGCCACCACCACAACUGUAGCCGCCACUUCAACUACAGCAGCCACUACAACAGUAGCAAUUGUCACCACAACUCCAGCUGGUACUACAAGAGCAGCAGCUUCAACCACAACUGCAGCUGCCACUACGACAACAGCCGCUACCACCACAACUGUAGACACUGCUAAGACAACCCCUGCCACCUCGACAGCAGCCACUGCCACCACUACUGCAGCCCCUGCCACCGUAACUGUAGACACCACUAUGACAGCCCCUGCCACCACAACUGGAGACACCACAAAGACAACCCAUGCCACCACAACUUUAUCCGCUACCACAACAGCAGCCACUGCAACCAUAAGUGCAGCUGCCACCACAACUGCAGCUGAUACUAAGACGACAGCCGCUGCCAGCACAACUGCAGCUGCCACUACGACGACAGCCGCUGCCACCACUACUGCAGCCCCUGCCACCACAACUGGAAACACCACUAAGACAAAUCAUGCCACCAUAACUUUAGCCUUUACCAACACAGCAGCCACUGCAACCACAAGUGCAGCUGCUACCACAACAGCAGCUGCAAUAACGACAGACCCUGCCAGCACAAAUGCAGACACCACUACGACUCCUACCACAACUGCAGCUUCCACUACGACAGCCUCUGUCACCAUAGCAACAGCAGUCGCCAGCACAACUGUAGAUGCCACUACAACUACAGCAGCCACCACAACAGGAGCCGCUGCCACCACAACUCCAGCUGGUACCACAAGAGCAGAAUCUGCAACCACAACUGCAUUUUCCACCACUACGACUGCUACCACGACUGCAGCUGCCACCACCACGACUGCAGCUGCCACCACCACGACUGCAGCUGCCACCACCACGACUGCAGCUGCCACCACCACGACUGCAACUGCCACCACAACUGCAGCUGCCACCAUGACAACAGCCGCUGCCACCACUACUGUAGCCCCUGCCACUGUAACUGCAGACGCCACUAUGACAGGCCCUGCCACCACAACUGGAGACACCACUAAGACAACUCAUGCCACCACAACUUUAGCCUUUACCAACACAGUAGCCACUGAAACCACAAGUGCAGCUGCUACCAUCACAGCAGCUGCAAUAACGACAGACCCUGCCAGCACAAAUGCAGACACCACUACGACUCCUACCACAACUGCAGCUUCCACUACGACAACCUCUGCCACCAUAGCAACAGCAGUUGCCAGCACAAUUGUAGAUGCCACUACAACUACAGCAGCCACCACAACAGGAGCCGCUGCCACCACAACUCCAGCUGGUACCACAAGAGCAGAAUCUGCAACCACAACUGCAUUUGCCACCACUACGACUGCUACCACAACUGCAGCCGCCACCACGACUGCAGCGGCCGCCACCACGACUGCAGCGGCCGCCACCACGACUGCAGCUGCCGCCACCACGACUGCAGCUGCCGCCACCACGACUGCAGCUGCCGCCACCACGACUGCAGCUGCCACCACCACGACUGCAACUGCCACCACAACUGCAGCUGCCACCAUGACAACAGCUGCUGCCACCACUACUGCAGCCCCUGCCACUGUAACUGCAGACGUCCCUACGACAGGCCCUGCCACUUCAACUGCAGCCACAUAUAUGACAGCCCCUGCCAUCAUAGCAACAGUAGCCGCCACCACAACUACUGCUGCCACUACCACAGUCACGGCCAACACAACAACAGCUGCCACUACGACAACACCCCCUGCCACCACAACUUUAGCCGCUACCAGAACAGCAGCCACUGCAACCACAAGUGCAACUGCCACCACAACUGCAGCUGCCACUACGACAACAGCCACUGCCACCAUUACUGUUGCCCCUGCCACCGUAACUGUAGACGCCACUACGACAGCCUCUACCACUACAACUGGAGACACCACUAAGACAACCCAUGCCACCACAAUGUUAGCCACUACCACAACAGCAGCCACUGCCACCACAAAUGCAGACCCCACUACGACAGCCUCUGCCACCAUAGCAACAGCAGUCGCCAGCACAACUGUAGCUGCCACUACAACUACAGCAGCCACUACAACUACAGCAGCCACUACAACAGCAGCCACUGCCACCACAACUCCAGCUGGUACCACAAGAGCAGCAUCUGCAACCACAACUGCAUUUGCCACCACUACGACUGCUACCACAAGUGCAGCCACCACUACGACUGCUACCACAACAGCUGCUGCCACCACAACUGCAGCUGCCACCACGACCACAGUCGCUGCCACCACUACUGCAGCCCCUGCCACCGUAACUGCAGACGUCCCUACGACAGCCCCUGCCACCACAACUGCAGCCACAUAUACGACAGCCCCUGCCACCACAACUGCAGCCACAUAUACGACAGCCCCUGCCACCACAGCAACAGGAGCCGCCACCACAACUGUAGCUGCCACCACAACUCCAGCUGGUCCCACAAGAGCAGCAGCUGCAAUCACAACUGCAGCUGCAACUAUGACAGUCACGGCCACCACAACAACAGCUGCCACUACCAGAACAGCAGCCACUGCAACCACUGCUGCUACAUCAACUGCAGCUGCAACUAUGAUAACAGCUUCUGCCACUACACCUGCAGCUGCCACUAUAACAACAGCUGCUACCGCCACAACUAAAUACACCACCAAGACAACCCCUGCCACCACAAAUUUAGUUGCCACUACGACAACACCCGCUACCAGCACAACUGCAGGCACUACAAAUACAACCCCUGCCACCACAACUUUAAAAGCUACCACAACAUCAGCCACUGCAACCACAAGUGCAGCUUACACCACUACUGUUGCCCCUGCCACCGUAACUAAGGGCCCCACUACGACAACCCCUGCCACCACAACUUUAGCCACUACCACAACAGCAGCCACUGCAAUCACAAGUGCAGCUGCUAUCACAACAGCAGCUGCCACUAUGACGACAGCCUCUGCCACUACAACUGCAUCUGCCACUAUGACAACAGCUUCUACCACCACAAAUGCAGACACCACUAAGGCAACCCCUGCCACCACAACUUUAGCCGCUUCCACAACAUCAGCCACAAGUGCAACUGCCGCCGCAGCUGCCACCACAACUGCAGCUGCCGCUAUGACAACAUCCACUGCCACCACUACUGCAGCCACUGCCACCGUAACUAAGGACACAUGA
rnacentral:lncRNA from 8 species